rnacentral:lncRNA from 1 species
GGAAAAUGUAAAUAAAAGAUACUGCCUCAAAAUACCCCUUCCAGCAUAACAUCUGCAUGACUUCAUCCAUUCUCGGAGUGGAAUGCACCCUCCAACACCCCAGAGAAACAAAGAAACAUAGACUACAAUUUCACUUUCAGAAGGACAAGACCCAAACUGCAGGGGACUAGAGAAGCCAAGAUUCCAGUGCCUUCCAGAACCCAGACACCCAGCCCCAACUCAUUGCACCUCCCAGAGUCCUGUAAAGCACAUGGUCCAACCCGUUACCUAACAAGGCCAAUGACAUUUUGCUGAUCUCCACUCUAAUGGGAACACUGGCCUGGCAUUAAAACGCAAGCACAGACUGCCCAGCCAAGUACCGAGGCCUUGGCCAUCCCUAUAAGUCAGCAGCCUUGAACUGUAAACCUUCCACACCCUCUUCAAGUGACUUAGAGCAGCACCAACUGUCACCAUGAAAGCUCUAGUCUCUUCCCUCCUUCUAUUGCCGCCACUAACGCUGACAUAGGUGGUCGCCAGCAGCCCAAAUCCAGACUUAAAAAAUACUGUAAACGUGGGGCUGGCCCCGUGGCCGAGUGGUUAAGUUCGCGCGCUCCGCUGCAGGCGGCCCAGUGUUUCGUUAGUUCGAAUCCUGGGCGCGGACAUGGCACUGCUCAUCGGACCACACUGAGGCAGCGUCCCACAUGCCACAACUAGAAGAACCCACAACGAAGAAUACACAACUAUGUACCGGGGGGCUUUGGGGAGAAAAAGGAAAAAAUAAAAUCUUUAAAAAAAAAAAAAAUAC